GUAUAUGCACAUAAACCCAAAAAAAUUGUUCUCUUCUAUUGAGAAACUCAUAGUGUUAGUUUCAUCAGUCAUGGAUCCUCCAUCGCCAGAAGCGCCACUGCUGCCACUACAUCCACCCCCACCUGCACGAGCUGGCGGAGGACUUUUGGAAUUAUUCUUGUGGUGUCUGUGCUGUUGUGGUCUGUUCACAUGCUGCUGCACUCCACUGUUUGAGCCUGGGCCUCCACCUCUGUAAGGAUACAUUGGGCAAUUUGGUUAGUCUGUUAGAUUGUGCUUGGUUACCGGGAAUGAAGGUAGAAUCAAAUUAUCUUUUCAGAAUGUUUGUUUUUACGUUUAGUUUAUCAAAAACAUGAUUAAAAACACAGCAUAAAUGAAAUUAUCAUCUACCAUUGUAAAUAAGUGAAUGAUUAUUUCAUAAUAUUUUAUUUUAUUCUAAUAAACUAAACAUUAUCUAAUGUGUC